GAUGAACGCUGGCGGCGUGCCUAAUACAUGCAAGUCGAGCGAACAGACGAGGAGCUUGCUCCUCUGACGUUAGCGGCGGACGGGUGAGUAACACGUGGAUAACCUACCUAUAGACUGGGAUAACUUCGGGAAACCGGAGCUAAUACCGGAUAAUAUAUUGAACCGCAUGGUUCAAUGGUGAAAGACGGUUUUGCUGUCACUUAUAGAUGGAUCCGCGCCGCAUUAGCUAGUUGGUAAGGUAACGGCUUACCAAGGCAACGAUGCGUAGCCGACCUGAGAGGGUGAUCGGCCACACUGGAACUGAGACACGGUCCAGACUCCUACGGGAGGCAGCAGUAGGGAAUCUUCCGCAAUGGGCGAAAGCCUGACGGAGCAACGCCGCGUGAGUGAUGAAGGUCUUCGGAUCGUAAAACUCUGUUAUUAGGGAAGAACAAAUGUGUAAGUAACUAUGCACGUCUUGACGGUACCUAAUCAGAAAGCCACGGCUAACUACGUG
rnacentral:rRNA from 1 species